rnacentral:misc_RNA from 1 species
GUGAGUCAUCGAAUCUUUGAACGCACAUUGCGCCCCUUGGUAUUCCAUGGGGCAUGCCUGUUCGAGCGUCAUUUGUACCCUCAAGCUCUGCUUGGUGUUGGGUGUUUGUCCCGCCUUCGCGCGUGGACUCGCCUUAAAGUGAUUGGCAGCCGGAGUAAUUCUGGGGAACGCAGCACAACUGCAGCCUCCAUUUUACGCCGAGCGUCCAGUAAGCCUUUUUUCAACGUUUGACCUCGGAUCAGGUAGGGAUACCCGCUGAACUUAAGCAUAUCAAUAAGCGGAGGA